rnacentral:rRNA from 1 species
GAUAAACGCUAGCGGCAGGCUUAACACAUGCAAGUCGAGGGGCAGCAUAGAUUGUAGCAAUACAAUUGGUGGCGACCGGCGCACGGGUGCGUAACGCGUAUGCAACCUACCCGUCACAGGGGGAUAAUCCGGAGAAAUCUGGUCUAAUACCCCAUAACAUAUGGAACGGCAUCGGUUCAUGUUGAAAUUAUCGGAGGUGACGGAUAGGCAUGCGUAGCAUUAGCUUGUUGGUGAGGUAACGGCUCACCAAGGCGACGAUGCUUAGGGGGACUGAGAGGUUUUCCCCCCACACUGUACUGAGACACGGACCAGACUCCUACGGGAGGCAGCAGUGAGGAAUAUUGGUCAAUGGGCGCAAGCCUGAACCAGCCAUGCCGCGUGCAGGAUGACGGCUCUAUGAGUUGUAAACUGCUUUUGUACGAGGGUAAAGUGGGUUAUGUGUAACCUUUUGAAAGUAUCGUACGAAUAAGGAUCGGCUAACUCCGUGCCAGCCGCCGCCGUAA